CCAGGCCCAAAAUCAAGCUCUUCUCUCGCAACUAGCCCAACAAGCGGGCGUCCCUAUGCCGACAUAUGGGAUGCCGCCUCCGGAGUUUGCACUGCCAAUUCCAAUGUUGGCGCCUCCACCACCGCCUCCGCCUCCGUCACAAUUCCCUACGGGAUUUCAGACACCACCCGCUUCAGUUGCCGCACCUGGAGAUGGGUCUGGUCAGGACGACCCAACACAUUCGUGGGUGAACAAUCUUUUCAGCACGCAUAGUCCAGCCGGAGGAGGUGGCUACUCGAACCAUCCAGACGAUGGAUAUGAUUGAUGUGUCGUGAUGUUUAUUUAUGA